CGUUGAAUAUUAGAUUAUUAAGCCUAGACUGAGUUGGCAUGUGGCGACGCUUAACGGUUUGAUCACCUGACAUUUAUAGUCACCUUUACUCUGACUGUAAUACACAGAAAACAAAUGUUAUCGGGAUUUAAUCUGUCUCAACUGGUUCAUAAACCUAAAUUUGUGCUAUAUAUUACUGGCUUCUCGGUAUUUAAUUUUAAUAUAGAACGAAAAUAAUAAUUUACUGUAAUUAUAUCCUAUUGUGUAAUGGCUUCCGUGUGUGGAUUUUCGCAUUUCAAUAGCUUUACUAUUGUACAAAAUAUACUGCACGAGACGUUUUGUCUUUUAUAACGAGAUUAAGGCUCCACGAAUCUAAGAAUCGAAUUUCACGCUUCUACAUUUACUUCAAUGAAAUACAAUAUUAUAAAGUAGAAGAAAAAUUGCGAACCUGACAUCUAGUCUUGUUUUCACAAUGUGCUGCCAUCUGGUGAAAAGUCGUUAAGUCAUGAACUGACAAACAAAGAAAGCACAUCUGUGAUAAAAUGUAAAUAUUAAAUAAAUUAAAAGAUAGCAUGGAUAUCAGUUUAAGCUUGGGGACAUUUCUGUACUUUUUGUGAUCAGAAAUAAGUUUAAUGCAUGUUGAUUAGAUCUAAAGCUCCAAAACGAAAUAUAUUUAUUAUAUUUAAUAACCAGUUUUAAGGUAACCUUGAUUUAGCCUGGCAUAAUUAGAUUUGUGGUUUCGAUUUAUCAUUAUGCAGAUUAUCUUCCCUAUAUCGUUUAGAUGGAAUUCAGUACAAUAGGUGGAAGGGACAGUAUUUAUUACAAAAAAGGCUUAUUUUUGAAUUCAGUUAAGAAAUUAAAAAAAAAGUAAGUAAGUAAAAUUCCCACUAACUGCUUUUAGCUCAAACGUUUCUUUCAAAUAAAGAAAAUAUCCUAGACAGACACUGCCUAUUUUGCAUUACAUUUUCACUUUAUACCAGGCUUGCACUUCUGUGUUAAAAAUGAAGUUAGUUUUAUCAGUGAUACAGACAUUUGCUUUUUUUUGAUAACUAACAGUAUCAAAGUUAUAAUAUAGUUUGAUUAGAGUGAUGUGGCAAAAUAAUUCCUUAUUUACAGGGUGUCCAAAAAGUCUGGAACCAUAGGCACUUCAACGAAUUUUACAGAAUCUGCAACAUACUGUUCUUUGUAAUUCGAAACAAGUUUGAAUUAACAACAGGAUUGACUCGACCUGAUGCUUUGACAGCACCAUAAUCAGUAAUGUAUCUGAAAUUAAGAAAAACUGCAAAUUGCCUAUGGUUCUGGACUUUUCAGACACCCUGUAUAUGAUAAGGCAUGUAUAGAAAUGUUUUUCUUUGUCUGUGUAUUGUGUCACAUGUACCUGAAUUUGAGGAUAUAUAUAUACACAACUCUCAUUUUUUGUGAGAGACAGACUUUCCUGACAAGUACUAAUGUCUUGAGUCUUUUAUUUCAUAAGUUUUUGUUUUCCUUUUAAUUUGCAUUGUUAUGAAUUGUUAGGAAAAUAACAUUAAUGAAGUAUACAUUCAUAAGACUUCCAUAUUCGUAAAAGCAGUUUUUAUAAUGUGCAUGAUUUUUUAAAAUUAUAGAAAAUGAUAAAGAAAGUAUUCAGAUGCAUCAGAGUAGAGAGAUCCAAUUAUUAGAAAUAAUGUUUUUAACCCAGAAGUAUAUAACAGAGAGAAUAGUUUCUGGAUAACUAUUUCAACAGACUUGUACAAACAACUUGUAUCUCUCUGCUUUCAAUAAAUAUGGAAUUUUGCUUUACCACCACUAGGUAGCCUUAGUAGUUAUACUCCAACUGUGCUCAGUAGUAAUGGUGACGCCUUUGAGCUUGGAAUAUCUCGACCCGUACACAGAGAAAUCCUAUCCCCUAUGGCCCAUAAAGAACCUGCAAAUUCUGAAACCAGUGAAGAGAUGCUCAAACCUGCUAACUCUGAGGAAAUUUCAUCUUGGUCAACCUCUACAAAUUCUGAUCUUUUGUUUUGAGCAUUGAUUAGUGUGAAGAACUUAAAGAAAAAAUCAUUUUAAUGGCUCAAAUCUGUAUUGAAGAUGAGGACAUUUUUUAAGACUUGAACAAGACCCAAUGCUGUUUCCUGUUGUACAACUUUGAAAGAAAAUUACUGACAUUGGUAGUUAACUUGCAAGAAAAGAAUUUGUUUUAUAAUUUUCUUGUUGCAAUUGAUAAGAAGAAGAUCAAUGUCUUUCUAUAUAUAUAGCAGUCAUUAGAUAUCUUUGUGGAGUCAAUCCAACUGACAGAACAAGUUUACAUUGUAUCAGGUGAUUUGAAUAAAUUAAAAAACAGUUUUUGUCCAUAUAUUAAAUUAGGAAUUUCAGGAUUGCCAUUUUGUUUGUUAAAAGAUCUUUGCGUGUUCAUUUGUAAAAAGGAAACUAUUAUACAGUCAACCAACGUCUUUCAUGAUAAAUAUAUGGAAUAAAAAACUCUCUCUUUUGGAGAAAUGGCUUAAUCUUAAUUUUUUUUAACCGAUUUAUAGCUCAUAGUAUACUCAUUAAAAGCAAUUAGCAAAAUCAUCAAUUUGGGAGAUUAUUUCUUUCCUAUCUUUGUACUUUAUCUAUAGAUGAUUUGACUUGCAAAGCCCACUGUUUUUACAUCUCAGCUAACUGAAAGAGUGUCUUAGUUCUUACACAGUAUUUGAACACUAACUGGGAUUAAUGCAUGUUUUUUACAUGCCUGAGGAAAGGUAGUAGGAAUAUAGGUUGGAUACAGUUUUAUUUAAAAGAAGUUUCAUUCCAGUUUUUUAGAUCUAUACAGUCUUUUUGUUGUUUUUUUUUCUAUUUUUCCUAGAAUAUACAAAACCCUUUGGCUAGUUUUUUACAUAACAUUUAAGUCAUUCCUAACAGAAAAAGGACGUCUUAAUUAAUUAUCUGUUGUGUGCAUGUAUGUAUACUAGAAUAAGAAUUUAUCAUGUCUGGUCUAGAUUGUGUGAGGUUUUACUGUUCCAGAAAUAACUUUUGAUGAACUUCUUGUAAAUGCAUUUAAGAUUAGUAUAUUCAGUGUAUGUUUUUAUACAUUUUUCCCACUUUCAUUGUACUUAUAGCAACGUGAAAACAAUAUGUGCAAGGUAUAAUGAAAGUAUUAUACAGUGCACAUCUUAUGUAGAUACUUAAAAACUGAAAUCUCAAUGUCUUUAUUUCCAAUGUGACUACUUACAAUAUCUUGCUUCUGUGUUUGAAGAUCAGACAUAACUGCACAUAGUUAAAUUUCAUAGGGACCACCAUAUUUAACUUUUAUUAAUAAUACUAAAUUGUAUUCUCUUAAAUUAGUUUAAUUUGUUUCAAAAGACUUUUAAGCUAUUAAGUAUAUAUUUAGCAACUAAUCUAAAUAAAUUUAUAAUUUUUCAUAAAUGACCGAUACGAAACUUUUCUUUUAUGUAGAAAAGAAAAUAUAAAUCAAGUAUUGAAUUUUUUUUGCUGUUUUACUUGGUCAAUUUAUAUGUACAGCAUAUGCCUACAUUUAGAAAUCAUCAAUAAUGAUUAUUAGAAUAAUUCUUUUUUCAAUGUUUUGUGUUGAUGCUUAAAUGUUUUAAUGAUAGACUUUUCCCAAGAUAUAUGUACCAGACCCAUUCCAAAUGCUACAUUAUAAGAAAAUUCCUUGUGCCAAUUCUGUUUUUUUUCUCAAAUUAAAUAAGUAAUACUGAUUGAAUUAGGGGGGAAAAUGCAACACUUGAAUGUGAAGAUUCUUGGUUCAUGAAAAUCCACAAGUGAUCAAUUUGUAAAGAAAUACAUUAAUUAAAAAUUAUCAUUACAAUACAGGUUUGGUACAAGUACAGAGACCUACAUAUAGGAGAAUUUAUUAAAGUUUAUUUAUUGCUCAUAAGAUUUGGAUGGUAUGUACUGUGCCCGUUUUUCCAAUUUCCAAUUGUAAGAGCUCCAGGACCCUGUUGAAAAAACAGUAAUGCAAAAAUUCCACUUCACCAUGAUGUUUUCUAAGUUCGUUCUUACAGCCACUUGAAAUGAGUACGCUCAGUAACAGGAUCACUCAUUGAUAUUAUGAAACAAUGUGACAACAAGGUCAUUACCAUACUUUUGCAAGGCUAAUGAUAUUCCAACCAAUUUUAUAAUGAAAGAAAGACAGUUACUCAAAAACAAACAAUGAGGAGAAGAAUUACAGUAGGAAUGGAACGUAAAUAUCAUGGUGUUGCAUGAUUUUGGAUUAUCCUACAUUAUUUAUAAUCUGUAAUAACAGAUUAAUUAAUUGUUACACACCUUACACUAACAAAAGGCUCAGAAUAGCAUUUUUAUUGAGUAAUAUUUGUUUGUAUUAGUUAUCUAAACAUUGUCAAAGAUAAAAGGACAAUGGCUGAAAUCAGUUUUAUAUUUCAUUUUUUGUAAAUGUUUAUAACAUUUGUACAUGUUUAUUGCCUAAAUUACAUGUUUGAAGAUUUUGUUGUAGACAAUAUUAUAUUGUUUUUGUUAUAAAACAUAAGAAGUAGUUAAGUGGAUAAAUGGACAAUAUGUUUGUAUGUUGUAUUUAUUUUGUAUGUCAACUUCCAAAGGGACUGGAAGUUUACUUUACUCUAUCCAUCAGGAAAAAAAAAAUUGUUUAAUUAAACAUACACAGUAACAAUGUUGUUUAUAAUAGAUUUUAUAAUGCUUUUGCUUUGACUCAAUAACAUCAAAACAUUUUUAAUGACAUUUUUAUUGUAUUUAUAUAAUACUUGCUAACAAUAGCAAUUUUCAAAUCAAAGUUUCUGAACUCAGCAUCAGACAAUAAAAAUACAAGGUGAUUAGUAAAUUAACAUUCUAAUUACGAUGUUUGUUUUUAAUGUAUCAGAGUAGAUGUUUGGUGCUUUUGCAGAGCAGAAAAUUUCACCUUUCAUUGUAUCUAAAGAAGUGUUACUUGUGAAACAAUUAUUGGAUAAUGAGUGUUUUUAUGUUGCCUGAUGUAAAGUAACUACUUACCAUAGAUGUAUGUACAUAAGUAGUCACGGUACGUUUUUAAACAUAUUGUGUUUCAUAAUGUCAGCACUUAUGUUCCACAAUUUGUAUGUACUAUUAUGUAAAUUUAUUUUCUUUUUCUUCCAUCGGUGUUAUAUUGAGAAUGUUUUUUCAUAUGAGUAUUAAAAAACAUUUUGUAUUUCAAA